UGGCGGUGAAGAUGUCACCUUUGCUUUUGCUUCUUCUUUGCUCUGAAGUGUGGCUCAGACAGAAGUACGUGUUUUUUAUCCAAUUUAGAAUCGGACAACGUGCUUGCUUGUUAAACAGAAACAGAUUUCCAUUAAGACAUUCAGUUUAAAGGUCCAACGUGUUGCCUUUUUCUAUUCACCUGAGCUAAGCUAUACCCCAUACAGUAACAAGAAGACAACCGACCGCAGUGUCACCACGUGAUAGAACAUGAAGCUUGGACUUGCCGACUGUCGGCCAUUGAAUUGAAACUCAUCAGAGGGGCAGAGACUGUCCUCGUAUUAAUUGUUAUUGCAAUUCAUACUUUCACUGACCGUGUUAAUUCCUAAUGGUCGAAAUCCUGUUUUUCAGCUACAAUUAUUUUUAUUCUCCUUGGUAUGUUAUGUCCUUUGGAUUCAUAUAUUAACUGCUGAAUGACAAUGGGUACAGUAAGUCAGAUCAGCUAUACGAAAUUUGUUUAAGGAAAAGUCUAUUACCCCUCGAAUCAAUCCCUUCAAUCAAGGGGACACGAAGUCGUAUAAGAUAGCAGGUCAGUAGUGCAUGAAUGUCGACGAGUGAGCUCUUCGACACGCCAGUACACGGGAACAGCAUUUGCCAUUAGGUGCAAUUUAUAUUGUCCAUCAGCUUAUAAUCAUGGGUAACUAUCAAUGUAUUUCACAAUUAAGUUUGUAUGUCUGUUAAUUUAGAUUGAUUAAUAAGCUUGUUCUUGGUUGUCUGCAUCUCUAAUGAAAUAGAUGAAGAUUUUAAUUAGCUAUUGUCUUAUUAUAGCUAACUACUGUGUUAAGCUGCUGUCGGUUGUUAGCUCUUUGAUGGUCGGAACAAAUUGGAUAAAUUGUCCUUUGGAAUAAGUAUUACUUAGAGCUAUGUAGUUGCACUACCAUUCUGGUGGUAAAUUAUCCAUUCAUCUUUACAUAACACUUACAUUCCCUUAUUUGUAAUUGCAGUAAUGUGACAAAACUAGUUGGAGUUGUCUAGGAACAAACCUUUCCUUUUUCUCAUCUAUUCUGUAAGACAACUUUGAUUGUUUGUCAUAACAACAAUAGUAAUGAUUAAAAAAAGGGGAAUUUUGACAUUUUCCCCAUGAAUCCUUCAUAGAUUCUAUCCAGAAAUAAAUCUAAGAGUGUCAAAUUUGUGUGAAAAUGUUAAGGUAUGGUUUUGUACUUCCUUAUUGAAGAUGGCAUAAUGAUUAUUGAUUUUGAAUCUGUGAUUGUUGUUUUGCAAUAAGCAUCUUUAUGAACAAUUUAGUUGAUUGAGAGCCCAUGAGUUAAUUGAAUAAUGUCUUUAAUUAUAGAAAGGAAAGUUUCAGAUAAUGAGGCUGUCAUUUUUGGCUUUCAUUGUGAUCUUUAGCAGCCAAAUGGAAGUGGAACAAAUACUUGAAGUCCUUGCUAUAUGCUCCAGGUUAUCUAGAGAUUGAUUAAAUAAACAAGUUCCUUGCAGGAAUGGAAAGUUGAUCUAGAAAUAAUCUAGAAUAGGUCACUGCUGGUGAAGCUGUUGAAGAAGUCAGCCCUGUGGGACAAGAAGCAGCUACCCCACCGAGCAUUGAAUUCUUAUUUGACGAAAUAGAAACCCGAUGCACUGAAUCUAGUGGUGGCUAGGGACACAAACUGAUUGUGCAGGUCAGAAAGACAUGGAAAUACACGAAAAUGGUUGGGGUGUUCCAUGUAAAAGUACAACUGAGAAAUAGAGCUGCAACGAUUUUCAACAACGUCAGGAGCAGCACUUGCGAGAUUCACUUGACUACGGAUGACUUUUGCAAAACGACGUUUUGGAUUUAGGUAUCGUUUGGUUUAAUUAGCUAUUUGCACAGCACCCAUUUUAUUAGAAAGGAUAUGCUGGUGAGUUGAUUCUAAUUUCAUCGCAUGUAUUCUAGAAACUUCCACCGAAGCAACCUAUUUUGAUCCUCAUUAGUUUAAAGUGCAUGUGAAUUAUCACGAUAAAUUAAAUGUGUGUAGGAAGUGGAGUGCAGAGUAAAUUGAACCACGCCAUUUUUAAGCAAUGCGUAGAGAUAGUGCGCCUUUACGUUGACAAAGUCGAUGAUAGUGAACUUCAAGUGCUUUUCGUACUCCAGACAUUACUCAGCCAACAUCAACACUGGGAAGGUGCUUUGUUUCUUCAAGGAACAUUGCUUAGUGAAGAAAAACAGGCGAUAAACUGCAAGACUAUGCCGCACCAACUAACUGAGACCGAAUCUUUCUAUUAGAGAUCGCUGCUUUUCCAUCGUUACAGCCAGACUACCAUUAAACUGUUGAAACUACAAGGACUUGAAAAUUUGACGGAUUCACCGUAGACUUAGUCGUUUUCCUUGAAGUCAUUUGGUCGUCGUGGCAUGAUGUGAACAUGCACACGCUGUGCUCAUCAACAGAUCAGUUUCGAAGGAAAUAAAAUUAGUCACGUUAGAAAGGUACUUGAAAACUUCAAUUAAAGUUAUUUCUAACUUGAAUGCUUUGUCCAGCAUCUGGUUCAUCCUGCACCACGAUCAUAGAGGAAGAAGCCCCGUGGAAGGUUCCAUGCCACGUUGAACUUGCUGUGCAGUUAAAAAUAAAUCUGCUAGUUCUUCUGGCUGCAUGUCGAGGAUACGUUUAGUUGACUUUAAUGCCAUCACCAUGUGAAUAUGCUUACAUCCUGGAACGACACAUUUUGGUUUAACAAAUGCUACAGAAUAUUUGCUGCGGUAGAAGAUAGCCCAUUCUUGAAUAUUUGCUUGGUCGAAUGUGAAUGUAGCCUCGUCUUCUGGGAGUGGCAAGGCAGGUGAUAAAGAAUUGUAAAGAAAACUCACAAUGACGUCGUUUUUGCCGAAAAUAUGUGCUGUUCUUGCAGUAGUAUUAUCGGGUACAAUAGAUCGUUCAAACAUUCCUUGUUGCCAUGUAUGGGCAACAGUAUUACCUUGAAGGCUCAGAUCAUGGUACAGCUAUUUCAGACAUUCUGGCAGAACUAUUUAAAAGAAUUCGGAAAGAAUGUUAUUACCUCAUACCUCGAGCAUAGUAGGAGAACAACCACUGAAAAGAAAGCUGCUGUAAACUGACAACCGUGACUUCAUUUCUAGCUUGCCUCAACUUGGUUAAGUCAGAAAAAAUUGCUGUUGGGCGUUCUUCAGUGCUAAGGUAUGCCAGUUUACAUGUAGUCAACAUGAAAAAUUGCACACUUCCUCCAUCACAGAGUUAAGCUUAACAAUAACAAAUGAUAAGUGCUUUUAGAUAAGACAAUUUAAUAUUCUUUAAUAUGUCUACCAUAUUGGAUUCCAGGUUUCCUUGAAGAAGGUGACCGAGUUGUUGAAUGAACUGAAUCCAUCAGCGUGGGAAAACCUGUUGCCAAGGAUAAAAGGUAUUGCAUGGUUCGACAUAAGGACAUUGAGGGGGAAAUCACUUGUAAGUUAACUCUAAGGCUGCCGAGGAUCCAAAUUAGUUUCCCGUUUAUGCAAAACUGGUUGAGCUUUUUCGUUUCAAAAAGCACAAAGUGCGUGCUCAUCAAGCCCUAAUGGAAUAACCAUUUCCGAAGUAUAUUGUUGACCCGUGACCUAAAGGCUAAUGGAAGUAAAGCCGGAGCCCUAAACGAAAAGGAGUUUGUCGAUAUUAAAAAUCCGUAUAGGUGAAAUAAAAAUAAAUUAUAAUUAAUUACUAUAUUUUUUUUUUUUUGGAUUUAAGAAAAUAUCCCCAUUACGAUAUAAUGGAAGAUGUAACGGUUACAUCUUGUUCAUCACAGUGGGAACUGAACCCAGGACCUUAAGCAUUUAAAACCGAUGCUUUACCAUUUAGCUAUCGAUGAUAGUCCAGCAAACGUCUAAGGAGGUGGGUAAGGAAGCAAGAUAUCAAAAAGGUACGGCGUCCGGCUCGCACUUCAAGUGACUGCGGUUCGAUUCUCUGGUAAGUUCUCCGAGACAUCGCAAAACAUCAGUCAAGUGCCUUAACCAAGUUAAGGAACAUCAUAAGUAGAACUCGGAUUACACACGACGCCACUGCGUAUAAUUCAAUAGGAAAUUUUCAGGGCAUCUGAUGAACCCAUUGAUUGGAUGUCCCCAUAUUAGUAUUCAGUGUACUGUAUAUGGAUAAUUUACAUUAAAAUUUUUCAUUUAUUUGCAA